GCUGCCAUAGCUUAGUGGGCUAGAGCGCUUUGCAUCUGAUACAUGCAAGGUAACAUUGGCGAUACACACCACCCAUGGCUCUGCGUUUAGCCAGCGCAGAAGUUAAUGCGGUGUGGGCGUUGGUUCAAAUCCAACUGGCAGCA
rnacentral:tRNA from 1 species